rnacentral:misc_RNA from 1 species
GGUUGUGUUUUCUAUAUACAUUUUUAAGCUGCUAAAUUAGAAGCUAAGGAAUUCCCAGCAACAAAGAACUCUCUGAUUUCCUGGACGCAUCGACGAUCACUUGUAAGCAUGGACGUAGUCCUGGAAAUAGAAGUUCUUCUCGAUGAAGUUGGCGAGCCAGCGGGAGGCGGCGAAGCACAGCACGGCCGCAGCCACGACGGCGGAUCUCUGCACAACCGACGUGACCACCGUCCCCUUGGCGACGGCGAGGAACCCGACGACGGCGACCGACGCCACCUGCAGGGCGACCUCCAGCGCCUUCAUCUUCUUCA